rnacentral:rRNA from 1 species
UACGGAGGAUGCGAGCGUUAUCCGGAUUUAUUGGGUUUAAAGGGUGCGCAGGCGGUCUGUUAAGUCAGCGGUCAAAGCCCGGGGCUCAACCCCGGCCCGCCGUUGAAACUGGCAGUCUCGAGUUGGAGAGAAGUAUGCGGAAUGCGCGGUGUAGCGGUGAAAUGCUUAGAUAUCAUGAAGAACUCCGAUCGCGAAGGCAAGUGUCCGGGGUGCAACUGACGCUGAGGCUCGAAAGUGCGGGUAUCAAACAGG